UAUAUACAGCCGAGUUGGCCAAUAAAAGAUGGAUUCAAGGCGUUGCCUGGGAGCAAGAAAAAACCCAAAAGGAGGACGGCUACAAUGAAGAGGGCGUUAUUGAAGUGGACACAAAAGAGGCUUGAAACUGCUGCAGAGCAGAAGAGAAGCACAGGAGAGGAAGGCGGAAUCCCAUAUUCAGGAAUGCACUGGCAGCAGCAUCUACAGAAGCGCCUGAAGGAAAGUCUCUAAGAGACUGGAGCAGUUCUACUGCAAAGUGGAUCAGGAAUCUGAAACACCUGAAGGAGCACAAUCACCAGACUCUACGCUCAGCCAUGGUCUAGUCUGGAGACUCUGAUGGCACAAUCCCAUUCUCCCUCUUAUGGAGGGAGAAUGAGAAUGUGCCUUCAGUGUGUGUUUAUGUGCACAGUCACAGAUUGACUGCACCCCAAUGAGCAGAAGACAGUGCCCCAAGCACACCUGGUCUUAAGGCCAACAUUUUUUUAAUCAUAACCAGAAAAUUCAGGGGUUUGUUGUUAAAUGUGAUGUUGGUUUUAAAUUAAGUUUUAGCAUUAAUACAGUUUGCAGUUGGUCUACUUUUAUUUAUGGUUUGUAGUUUUUAAAGGAUCUAGCAUCUUGUAGUCAUAUACCAUACAAAGAGUAAACAUGAAAGUUUAAUUCCCCCUAUAAACCACAUGGGUGCUAACAAGGAAUAACGCAAGCAGGAACAGAAAAUACAGUGGCCAGUUUUGGCAGUGAUAGAGAAAGGCAAAGCAGUCUAUGUCAGGGAAAGGUGAGGAGAAAGGAUUAUUGCCUGUUAGGAAAAAG